UACGUAGGGUGCGAGCGUUAAUCGGAAUUACUGGGCGUAAAGCGUGCGCAGGCGGUUUUGUAAGCCAGAUGUGAAAUCCCCGGGCUUAACCUGGGAAUGGCAUUUGGGACUGCAAGGCUUGAGUGCGGCAGAGGAGACUGGAAUUCCUGGUGUAGCAGUGAAAUGCGUAGAUAUCAGGAGGAAUACCGAUGGCGAAGGCAGGUCUCUGGGCUGACACUGACGCUCAUGCGCGAAAGCGUGGGGAGCAAACAGG
rnacentral:rRNA from 1 species